UUAAUUAAUUAGCUCCCUUAAUAAUUGACUUUUUGGUCCCCCUUUAUUAAUUUACAUUGAGCAGUUGAUGGUGAGGGAGUGUGUUCUUACACAUUCCAGAGGAAUAUUAAAAGUUAAUUUUUUAUCCUUGCCUUCAGAGAAUCUCAUUUCUCAGUAACAUACCUGAGGAAAAGGUUAAAUCUUACAGGGAAGCCACUUUUGUGUGUGUUUACAUUAUUAAAGAGUGACUGUGCAGAGCUCUGUGUAAGGAGUAUAACGUUUGAUGAACUUUCCAUGUUAUUAUAAAUAAUUUUAGAUUAAAAAAAAGAUUUAGACCUAAAGAUGCGCACUAUUUAUUUUUAGUCCAAUCAUAAAAUUCCCCUACAAACUCUCUCGGAAAACAUUUCCCCCCUAGUACACGGACUCUAUUACAGUUUCAUUUCCUUACAUUAAACUAGUAUGACCCAGCAUGAAAAAUCAAAUUAUUAGCUAUUAAAAUAUCUCCCACGUCCCCUCGCUUUUGCCACUUGGGUUUUUUUUUUUUUUAAAUUUAUUUAUUUAUUUUUAGCAACUUUUCAAAAUGUCGGGGACGUGCUCCAGCAGCUCUGGUUUGACUCAUCACCACAGCUGAUUAAUCAAUAAAGUGUCUGUGAGGCAAACUGGCUACCUCAACAAGUCCGGGCUUGUCUGCGAGUCACCUGUGGCGUCGAAUGAAUAAGGAGGUCUUCAUUAACUUGCAGAGAGGACAAAACUGAAUGAAGCUCAUUAACUGCAGGGAGGGAACAGGUGCAGGGCAGCACAUCGAGGAGAACGAGAACCCACAGGGCCUCAGACAUUGUAAAGCAGAGAGGAUAUGUGGACAUACUGUGUGCAGCCGCGGAUGGGUCCAGCACAGCCGCUUCAUCCAGGAUAGCUCAUUGCUGUGGUGUGGGACAGUUACUUCAAAGUCUCAGUGGAGUCAUUACUUGGGAGUGACUUUAUUUUUCCGUGCCAGACAUUGAUAUCAAGCAUCGAGACGAGGAAACCUGAGAGGAGGCGAGUUGACAGACCGCACAGACCUGCUCAGGGAAGAUGACCUGCCAAGCUCAAGUGACAUGCAGAGGAAGUGUUUUGAGUGUAUUUUGUUUUGUUUUUUAAUUACCACACAUUUCGCAUAUUAAGCCUCUCCUUUAAAUGUAUAAAAAAAAAAAUAAGGAACCUCAUGAUCAGCUGGGGCCUUUCUGCAUGGAUGUCCUCCAUGUGCCUGUGUGGGUUUUUCUGGGUACUUUCCUCCCACAGUGCAUCUUAAGUUGGGUAAAUAGUGAUUAUAAAUGUGUCUGUGGAUGUGAUUGUGAGAUGUUGUUGUGUGUCUGCGUGUGUUAAACCUCUGAUAGAUUGGCAGCUGGGUCAGGAUUUAACAAGUUUAGAAAAAAAACAAACGGAUUGAACAAAACAGAAAUAAAUAUAUGUUUCAUUUCUUAAAAUGUAAAACAAGCACUUUUUUGGACAUGCAGUGUUUUAUCUGUGAAUUAAGUAAGUUUAAGUGCUGCUUCAUGAUGAUGUUUUGCUAAGACUACAGAACUGGCUUUAUUUAAAAUUUUAAACAUUUAAUUACGUUACCGUUUUCACAUGACAUUGAAUAUAGCUGCCUACAUUACACACAGUACAAUACACUAACAGUACAAGCACACAGAAGUUCAGCUUUGACCUUUGGAACGAUGACAAAAUCAACUUUAUGAAGAUCCACCUGUUUUUUCUGCCUUUAAUUGGAUGCUAUGGUUUUUAUCGGCACAUUUGUGAUGCUGUUGUUUUAUUACAUUGAAUUGUGGUUGAAUUUUACACACUUAACUCCACCCAUUACAGCUUAUCUGUAGUUAGUUUUUUUUUUUUUUAAAGUAUUGUCCUAAUUUCACAAAGGUCAGUUGUCGUUGAGUUUCUGUUCCCACAGGUCGACUGGGUGCGACUGGAGAGCCGUGCGAGAGUUAAACUGUCCUUUGGGGUGAGGUAGUAGGUUGUAUAGUUUUAGGGUCAUUCCCAAGCUGUCAGAUGACUAUACAACUUACUGUCUUUCCUGAAGCGGCUGUAAUAACAUCAUCUUCAUCAUCGUACCCACAAGAGGAUAAGAAGCAUGACUUUUGAAUUUGGACUCGUUUGUUUGUUUAACCUAAAAUAAUAUGCAGAUUUUUGUGGGAAAUUGUUCUCUUUUUAUUGAUGCCUGUUGUUGUUGUUGUUUUUUAUUAUUUUUUAAAAAAAGGUAAGUUCUGCUAGUCUGAAGUUGUAACCAGUGAAGCUUGUUCUCACAGCGUGUAGUAAAUUUAGCGAAGUAAUGUGAAAUCUAGCCACUUUUACUUUUGCAGCUUUUUCAUGUAACUUUUCCUGCAAGUGCAUCCUUUUAUGUGCAGCAUGUAACAUUUCAACUGACAUUAUCAUGGCAAUCCUCAUUGCAAUAAUAAAUAACAAAGUUGCUUUCAGUUUCAUUUAUGCAGCGAUGCGGCUCGCGCACAAAUCCUCUCCGUACCCGCCUGGGUGCUUUAUGAUGUUCGUACAGGGUGAGGUAGUAGGUUGUGUGGUUUCAGGGUUGUGAUUUUACCCCAUCAGGAGCUAACUAUACAACCUACUGCCUUCCCUGGAGGGCAGCAAUACAUCACAGGAGCGCGCGCAUCUUUGUCAUUUUCCCUGCCUCUGAAAAAUGGGACAGUCUCUUUUACAAAGGCCCACAAAAGACUGCCAUUCGAUCUCAAGGGUUCACGUGUAUGGGUGAGUGGCGCUCACUCACACGACGCAUUUCAGAGAGACAAUCACUUUACACAUUUGUAACUCACACUGGGAAGAUGGCAUAAAAAAGGCAUUUAUUUAAUUUUAUUAGCAUUCAUGUUUUAAUACUGCUUGUACUUUUCCCCCAGUAAUUAAAUAAAGACUGGACAAGAAAUAAUUGCUGAGCAAAUAAUGGCUGAAGUCUGAUCUUUGUGCUGAUAACAACUGUGCAACAGUAGAGUCUCCCUAGAUGGGAUAUUUUCUUCGAAAUGCUGCUUUAGUCUCUAAUCCCUUUAAGGAGCUCAUAAUGCCCUGAAAUUCUAAUCCCCAAAGCCUCUGUGUCUGAGGAACAUGUAUCUUUUUAUCUGUCUAGAAAAGUCUCCUAAAAAGCAUGCAUCAUUUCUCUUUUGUUCUUUAAAACAAAAAUCAAUUGCAUGGGAUUUCUUCCAAUUAAGAUGUUAAUACUGUGCAAGAUUAAAGGCAAGUAAAACUCCAGAAAACAAUUGAAGGUAGAGCAAACAGCCAAGAGUCAUGCUGUUUUAUGAAACCACACGUAGGAGUGCAGCUUUUGCUUUGAGUUUUCAAGCGACAUCCCUGACCAAAGCUGAUUCUGUAGCUCGCUGCUUAAAAACCAUUUCGUAUUCAGAAAAAAUGAGCUUGUGUUUCCAUCCCAGAUGGAACGGAAGACCAGGUGCCGAGGUAAAACCAAAGAAAAUCAUAAAUUAUCACCCUGCCAUUUGUUUGUGGGAGAACACGCUGAGCCACCAUGAGGGGUUUUUAUCGUCUACACUUACUGUGCAGGUCCACAGGAAAAUAUGACAGCCAAAAUAUCCUAUUGUCAUGCGUCAUUUCACAGUAGAUGGCGCCAGAUAUUAAAUGCGGUGUUGUUGCUUUGCUGGAGACAAUCGCAGUCUACACUAAUUUGUUAGAUGUACUUUAAGACGGGCUAUAAAUUUCUAAGGAGUUGGUACAGAAUGAGGGUGUCCUGCUGACCUACAUGUAGGAGGUCCAGGCAGGAAAGGAGGGCUGCUUUCUGCCAACUAAAGUAACCUUACAGCAGCACUGACACAACAUCGUGCUUAUGGUUGAAAUAAAGUUAAUUUUGCCACAGGUCAAGUAUGUGUUCCAUAGGGUCACAGUUAAAUAUCAAAAAUCUUCCAAGUGUACACCAUCAAAUAAAAAACACCAGCUGGUAGCCACAGUAUGAAGUGCCAUUAGCACUAAAUUGUGAAGGGAGGCUUUUUGGAGCAACCGUUUUAAAAGCAAGUACACACGCCUACCUUAUUCAUGCUAUUAAAUGUGUUUUAAAGAAGAUGGGGAUUUUUUAAGGUGUAAAUAAAAGGCAAACACCUGAAAGAUGCCCGUGAUUUGUAUCCCAGUGUGUGGCUUAGUAGGUAGAAUGCCAUUCAAACACUCAGACAGUUGUUAUUUGGAUUGCAACUGCAAAUUAGGCUGACACUAAAAUGACCUUCACUUUCUUACUGCUUAACUGUGAGCAGCAUAACACCAAGAGACAGACUUAUUUGUCAUUUCCCAGCAAUACUUGGACACAACACAUAUCUCUGAUUGUCA
ensembl:lncRNA